rnacentral:rRNA from 1 species
CCCUUAGAUGUUCUGGGCCGCACGCGCGCUACACUGACGAAUGCAACGAGCUUAUAACCUUGGCCGAAAGGUCUGGGUAAUCUCCAAAUUUCGUCGUGAUGGGGAUAGAUUAUUGCAAUUAUUAAUCUUCAACGAGGAAUGCCUAGUAAGCGCAAGUCAUCAGCUUGCGUUGAUUACGUCCCUGCCCUUUGUACACACCGCCCGUCGCUCCUACCGAUUGAAUGGUCCGGUGAAGCGUUUGGACUAUGGUUUUCUGACGGUUCGCCAUUGGAUUACCGUGGGAAAUUCGUUAAACCUUAUCAUUUAGAGGAAGGAGAAGUCGUANCA